AGAGAGAGACAUGCGCGCAUAUCAAUAAGCGGAGGAAAAGAAACUAACUAGGAUUCCCUCAGUAACGGCGAGUGAAGCGGGAAGAGCUCAAAUUUGAAAUCUUCAAGGGUUCUACCUUGACGAAUUGUAGUUUAAAGAAGUGUUUUCUGUUGAGGUUUUGGUAAAGUUCUUUGGAAUAGGACAUCAUAGAGGGUGAGAAUCCCGUAUUUGACCUUUACUUUCAACUUUGUGAUACACUUUCAAAGAGUCGGAUUGUUUGGGAACGCAGUCCAAAAUGGGUGGUAAAUUUCAUCUAAAGCUAAAUAUUGGCGAGAGACCGAUAGCGAACAAGUACCGUGAGGGAAAGAUGAAAAGAACUUUGAAAAGAGAGUUAAACAGUACGUGAAAUUGUCAAAAGGGAAGCGUUUGACACCAGUGUUGUUUUUCUGAAAAUCAAUUAAAGAACUGUUUAUGCUAAGUUGUUUAGACUUUAUCAGCUAACUGUUUAGUUUUGAGCUUUCUUUGAUGCACUUUUCAGUUAACAAGUCAACAUCAAUUUCUUUUGCUGUAAAAAAGCUUGAGGAAGGUGGCUUGAGAUUCGUCUUAAGUGUUUAUAGCCUCUUGCCUAUGCAGUCGGAGAGAUUGAGGUCUGCAGCGUAGAUCCUUCGGGGCUAAAUGCAUUUGUGCUAAGUUAUAGCAUUUUAUAGACAACUUGUUGACUAUGAUUUGUCUUGUAGCUUACUCGCUUAUGUUAUUUUACCUACGCUUAGGAUGUUGAGCGCAUGUCUCUCUCU
rnacentral:rRNA from 1 species